GAGGCAGAUGAUGCAUGCAAGGACCAGGCAGAGAGAGGAGCCUGCAGCCACCGGUGAUGGAGGCAAAUGGGAGCCCAGAGGAGAGGGGUGAGGUGGAAAGGGGCAGGGGGAGCCAGGAGAAGCAGCUCCUUGCACAGCUCAGCCGUGGAGCCAGCAUCCCAGCAGACCUGUCUCAGCUGAUAGGUUUGCUGUGGCUCACAGCUGCUCUAUGGAGCACUGCCUGUGGCAGGAGGGGAUUUCAUUCUCCAACGAUUUUCCCUGCUGUGUUUCCUCUGGUGAGUACGAGAUGUGUGUGGUCCAGGGAAGCUGGCUGUGCUGUGUGAGCAGGGCUGGCUGCGAAUGCCAGGGCUGGAGGAGCACGUGUCCCACACGGAUGUGCAGGUUGGAGGCAGAGAGCGUUACCCCUCCUGGCUGAGGCCACCUGCAUCGUGGGCGUUUUUGCAUCUCCUCCUUGCCUCAGUGCCGUGCUUGGGUGUCUUUCUGCCCACAAAGCAUAUACUUGAGCAAAGACCCUGAAAGCUGGUGGCCUCAGCUCUCUGAUCUUCCACUCGGGCCCAGAGAGGAGCUUGGUGUGGCUCUCGAUGGCCACGGAGCCGCUGCCCUGCCUCGUGAUACCGAGCAUCUGCAGAGCUGGAUGCAGACCUGGUCAGUGCUGCUGAAACGAGCCUCUGUCCAGCGCUGUGGAAAUGCCACUCCUGGGACACAUUGGCACCUCCCGAGGGAGGGAGGGAGUGUCCCUCGGUCCCCAGGGUACCCCAGAGUGCUGUCACCUCGAGAAACAAGUCUGCAGAUCCAUCAGCACCCCAGUGCUUCACGGAGCUCAGCUUGGGAAAAGAAGAAAGCAAACCCACCCCCCUGGGCCAGUGCUCCCCUCCUCCCCCAACCCUGUCUCUCCCUGACAGAUGAGCUGGGAGCCAGAAGCGCCUUUUGCAGCUGUACAUGAUGCAUUUCAUUUCCAUUAGGAGUUCCUUCAUUGCAAAAAUGUAUUUGCUCUCAUCCUGUGUCUGUGUGCAUAUCUAUGUUACAUCUAUCUAUAUACUAAUAAAUAUAUAUGGCCUGCUUUAAAGUGCCAAUUUACAAAAAGCCGCCUCCUCAAAAGGCAGGCAAGACCCAAUUUCAUCCGUGACAAGAAGGGAGCAGAACUGACUGAAUAUUGCCAAAUGACGUAAAACAUAAUUUAAAAUUUCUUAAAUAAAUAUAAAAGUUAUUCCUAAAGAAGCCAUAGGCAUGUCAACAAUACAGGUUGUAACCGGCACUCAACAACUAAAGUACCAUUGGAAAACUAAAAUGCCAUAGCAACUUCAGCAAUAGGCAUGAUACAUUGCAAACAUUUUUUUCUUUUUAAAUUAAAUGUACACCACAACGAACUCAGGAAAAAAAAACCCAGCUAUUGGUGCAGUAAGAAGACUUCUCAGGUGUUACGGGGGAGGGGACCAUGCAUAGAAAGCUGUGUCUGUAUAUUCCUUGUAAAACGGGUCUAUAAAGUGUAAAGCAGGUAACGCAGUUGAAAGAAGAACCCAACUCUAUACGAGAUGCCAAGUGAUGUCACACGACUGGCUCCAGUUUCGACAGCAAUGGAUAUUGAAGCAAGUCCAUCCAGUGCAGGUACGAGAUGAGCUUCACUGCAGUAAUACUGAAGCUGCCUUUUUCAGCACUUAGCACAGUGAGGUGGGAGAGGGGAGGAGAAAUGCUCCAAGAAAGGGCGAGCGCACGCUCCCAGCCCCGCGCCGUCAGUCAGGGAGUGCCACGGGAGCCUGGCUGGCUCAGGCUCCGGGCUCCCCUCACCAUCGCCAGGAGCUCCGGCUCAGGAGGUGCCGAUCUCCGCCGGGUUAAGGCUCCAGGUGGGGCGGGACGGGGGCUGCGGCCACGGCAGCGCUCAGGAGCUCCGGGGUGAAGUUCCACAACUGUUUCCUGCCAACUGCUUCACAUACGUGUUGGAAAGGACAUGGCUCUAAGUUUCAGGAAUCACAGUAGUGCGCAGUGGGUACAGCAGGGAGCAAACACUUGUGAAACUCCGGCAGAAGCAGCUCCCAGCCCUUUCUUAAAGCACUUUUUUUUUUUUUGUUUGCAUUCAGGGAAACCGACUGCAGGCUUAUUUGAUCCAAUUUUCUCUUUGCACCAUACACAUAUAAAACAUUACAACUCUGUAUAAAAGUACAAGUGGUUCUUGUACAUCUGAAUUAUGCAGGAACUAUGUGAGCAAAUCCUAUCAAAAUAGCUAUUUUUUUGUGUGUAUAAACAGCAUUUGUUUUUAGAAAAAACAAUACCAUAAACUGCAGAAUCUGUACAAAAAUAUAAAAUAAAUUUGGGCAGCAGUUUCUAAACAGCCAUGUAAAUGCAACACUUAAAGAGGAGCAGGUUAAUGCCUCCAAAAGGCUGAAUUGCUAAAGUCAACCUAUACAGGGCUAAAAUGGUAUUGAGAUUAUCUAAAUAAUAAAAUUUUUUACCUCUUGCAAUAAAACUUAUAGAAAAAAUAGACAAGUAUGCACAUGCAAUUUACAGCUUUCCCCAACAUAAUCCUUGUGCUUAGCUUUUACCUUUUUUUUCCUUUUUUUCUUUUUUUUUUGUAAUAACAUAACAUUGUCUACAAUACAUAUUCUUUCCUAUACCAGGAUAUUCGGUCUUCCUUGAGGAACCACUUUAAAAAAAAUACAUUAGAAGUGGUCAUACAUGGAUGAAGGCACUCCAACUCUGCUCGAAGCAAAAACUAGUGUGAUCCUUUUCUUUUCAAAAAAGGCAAGCAAGGAUGCAUGCACAGUGCUGUGAAUCGGGGCUGGGAGGGACUAUGGAAAUACUACCAAGUGUAUAUACUGGUACUUAAAAUUAAAAAAAAAAAAAAAAAAAAAAAAAAAAAAAAAAAAAAAA